CUGUGGUGACUGGAUUCGCAUUGGCGAUGAUGCUGGGAAAUACAAUACCGUGUCCUCUCCCGGCAAGAUCUUGGUGCGAAGUGGUGGUACUUCGGAGUGGAAGUCGAUUAUAUUUACAUUCGGACUCGAAGUAACCUGGAUAUUCGCAAUAAAUGAUGGCGGAUACCGCUGCGGUCAGUGCCGUGCCAAAGAUGACCUCCAAUCUGACGUUACCCUGUUUGAGCAAGGUAAGAUAUUGAUUGGUUUGGAAGGUAGGUUCCAACUCAAAGGUAUAGAGUGCAUAUCCUUUUGCAAUGUCGUCUCGCUCUAUGUUAGAACCAGCAUCGUUGAGCCAUUUCCCCGUCGAUUGUAACAUGUUCCUUAGAACGGGAAUCGUAGUCUGACCACCUGUCGCACUGUACUUGAGUUUUAAAGGGUUACCGCCGACUGGUAUUCCAUCAACGUACAACCCUAUAGAUGUGACGUCAAAGGGUUGGAAAAACCAAGGGUUCUGUUCGUAAUCGCCGGUGGUUGCA